rnacentral:rRNA from 1 species
AAUGACUCUCAGCAACGGAUAUCUUGGCUCUUGGAAUUGCAGAAUUCCGCGAAUCAUCGAGUUUUUGAACGCAAGUUGCGCCCGAGGUUCGUCCCGAGGGCAUGCCCGCCUGAGCGUCCGCUCCGACCCACCCACGAAUCC